ensembl:lncRNA
ACCACUGUUCCCUCUAAGCUGCGCGUGUGCGCAAUUGCGCACUGCUGACACGGUCUCCGCGCACAGAAAAUCUGCGCUGCGCACAAAAAAAAAUCCAACCUAAAUUGUAAAUAAAAUAAACACGUAACAAUUCAUUCUGUGCUAUUUUUCAGUGUGAGUCAGUGAGUGACCGGUGACUGGCUGCUGCAGCCAAUGAUGCGAUUCACAUACGUAUUUACCAUAGACUGUAUAUAAUGGUAUUUACGCAGCUAAUCAACGUCAGGCGUCCUUAUGUGCAGCCACCGUUGUUCUCAUAGAUAUGAAUGAGUAGAUAGGACACGCCCCUUUGAGCUGCGUGCUACAGCGAGGCUAAGCUAGUGGGGGCAAAGUUUCAGUGCAUUCCGUUGAUGUAGACGGCGUGAAAACGGAAACAAGUAUGCCGUCUCACUGUGCUGCAUACAGUUACACACUACGUCGUACGAUUGAGACAAGGAAACUUGGAAUGACUUUUCAUAGGUUUCCCAGAGACUAUGGGUUGAGGAGGAAUUGGAAGUUUGUCGGCUUAGACCUGGUGUCAUUCCAUCAGUGUUAAACUUCCCGGCUCAUCUUGGAAGAGUACGUGCCAGAAAGACCACGACCAAGCAGCCUUGAGAUCUUAGGCAGCGUCUCCCUCAGGUGUAGUGAGAGACAGACAGGAAACAGGGGAGAAGAGUCAGGGGAAGACUUGCAGCAAAGGGCCACGAGCGAGACUCGAACCCGGGACGCUGCGUCAGGAACCAGCCCCCGUACAUAGGUCACCUGCUUAACCCGUUGAGCUAUAUGGGCACCCAUGUUGUGUCUUU